CCUACGGGAGGCAGCAGUGGGGAAUAUUGCGCAAUGGGCGAAAGCCUGACGCAGCGACGCCGCGUGAGGGAUGAAGGUCUUCGGAUCGUAAACCUCUGUCAGCAGGGAAGAACGGUCACUGUGCUAAUCAGCAGUGCAUUGACGGUACCUGCAAAGGAAGCACCGGCUAACUCCGUGCCAGCAGCCGCGGUAAUACGGAGGGUGCGCUCGUUAAUCGGAAUUACUGGGCGUAAAGCGCUCGUAGGCGGUAUGUCAAGUCAAGGGUGAAAUCCCCGCGCUCAACGGGGGAACUGCCUUUGAAACUGGCAAACUGGAGUGUGUGAGAGGAUAGUGGAAUUCCAGGUGUAGGAGUGAAAUCCGUAGAUAUCUGGAGGAACAUCAGUGGCGAAGGCGACUAUCUGGCACAUAACUGACGCUGAGGAGCGAAAGCGUGGGUAGCAAACAGGAUUAGAUACCCCAGUAGUC
rnacentral:rRNA from 1 species